UACGUAGGGGCCGAGCGUUGUUCGGAAUUACUGGGCGUAAAGCGCACGUAGGCGGCUUUGUAAGUUAGAGGUGAAAGCCCGGGGCUCAACUCCGGAAUUGCCUUUAAGACUGCAUCGCUAGAAUUGUGGAGAGGUAAGUGGAAUUCCGAGUGUAGAGGUGAAAUUCGUAGAUAUUCGGAAGAACACCAGUGGCGAAGGCGACUUACUGGACACAUAUUGACGCUGAGGUGCGAAAGCGUGGGGAGCAAACAGG
rnacentral:rRNA from 1 species